UUGUGGAAAUGGAUAAUCGCUGUAUUAUUAUAUAGAGGAAAGUCCGGACUCCCUGGAGGAAAAGUGCCAGAUAACGUCUGGCGACACAUCAAUGGUGUCAGGGAAAGUGCAACAGAAAAUAUACAGCCCUUCUAGGGCAAUGGUGAAAUGGCGAGGUAAGAGCUCGCCGCGCAGCUGGUGACGGCGGCGGCAUGGUAAACCCCACUUGGAGCAAGAUCAAAUAGGAAUAACGCGUCCUCCACGCCAGGUUAUUCGGGUAGAUCGCUUGACGUUUGCGGCAACGUAAACGCUAGAUGAAUGAUUAUCAAAACAGUAUGUUUUACAGAAUCCGGCUUAUAGUUUCCACAAAAAC
rnacentral:RNase_P_RNA from 1 species